AGCUUCAUGUCCUAGAACCGAGUCUCCUCUCUUUCGUAAAAUCGCCCCAACCAAUGAAUACUAAUUUUUUAAGUCCCAGAUGCUGCACUGGGGGAAAGGGAGAAAAAGGAAGAUUCUGGAAAGAGACCUAAGGGAGGAGGGAAAACACAGAUGAAGUCAUGAGGAUGCCACCCCACCCCACUUCAGACACAUGCCCUUAAAGAAGAGGAAGAGGCCUGAGUCAUAUGUUUGCAGCAUCUGCAUAGCAGGAAAUGGAUCCUCACGGACACCACUUGCAUCAGAGCUUUGAUGUUGUACUUCCCACGCCCUGGAACUGUGGAGAGAAAUCCCUGUUUGUCUGUAUGAGGCAACAAGCUUGUGAGCAGAAGCUGCAACUAAGGAUUAUGGAGGUGCAGACAGAAGGAGCCUGGACCUGCCGCUGGUUGCACUGGCCUUCUGGGAUUCUGCUUGCCCUUACUCUCUGCCGCCGCCUUCUUCUUCUUCUUUUCUCCUCCUUCUUCUUCUUCUUCUUCUUCUUCUGUUUUAGAUUUUUUUUUUUAAUGAGAAAAAUAAACACAUUUUUGGUAGGUCAGCAUCCUGUAGCUUGUAGCCAAGUACAAGCCCUGGAGACAGCAAUGGCUUUAAGUCCUUCAUGUUUCUUUAAAUGGUCUUUAAAUGUAUAGUGGCAGAAGUCUUUACUCACAACACUAAGGAACCAGAGGCAGGAAGAUCACUGUGAGUUCAAGGCCAGCUACAUAGUGAGACUGUGUCAGAGAGAGAGGGAGAGAGAGAGAGAGAGAGAGACAGAGACAGAGACAGAGAGACACAGAGACAGAGUUUUCUUUGAUCAGUAAGCCUGUUCUUCCCUGACAGACAAUGCCUCUGCUAGUACACAGUAAGUCUGUACUAAUGAGGAUCUCCCUAGAAACAGAACAUUCCAUUUUACUGAUCGGUUCCUGGACAAUCAAUACAAAGAUGGAGGGUGUUAAAGCCUCUUCUCUUCCUGCCCCUCCUGCUCCUCCUCCUUAUUGUCUAUGUUGUUAUUUAUUUUUUCACAAAUACCAGGUUCCAUCCCACACUGUAUGACACAACACCGAACAAAGCAAGCAAGUCCUUGUGUGGCCCUUUGGCAGUGCAAGCCACACUUUGUUGUUCCAUAUUCAUUUUGGAGUCAGUCUGACCAAUUCUUGACAAUUCUAAUGGAAAGAAAAUGUCAUGAAGUGCUUCGCCAGACUCCAUUGUCUAGAUAACACUGUGCUCUGUUUUGUGAAAGAACAUUUGAGCUGUUUCUAGUUUGGGAAUAUUAAAACAUUAUGCUUUUGUGAAUGCUU
rnacentral:lncRNA from 1 species